rnacentral:rRNA from 1 species
CCUACGGGGUGCAGCAGUGGGGAAUAUUGCACAAUGGGGGAAACCCUGAUGCAGCAACGCCGCGUGAGUGAAGAAGUAUUUCGGUAUGUAAAGCUCUAUCAGCAGGGAAGAGAAUGACGGUACCUGACUAAGAAGCCCUGGCUAACUACGUGCCAGCAGCCGCGGUAAUACGUAGGGGGCGAGCGUUAUCCGGAUUUACUGGGUGUAAAGGGAGCGUAGACGGUUCUGCAAGUCUGAAGUGAAAGCCCGUGGCUUAACCGCGGAACGGCUUUGGAAACUGUGGAACUGGAGUGCUGGAGAGGCAAGCGGAAUUCCUAGUGGAGCGGUGAAAUGCGGAGAUAUUAGGAGGAACACCAGUGGCGAAGGCGGCCUGCUGGACUGCGACUGACGUUGAGGCCCGAAAGCGUGGGGAGCAAACAGGAUUAGAUACCCCAGUAGUC